rnacentral:rRNA from 1 species
UACGUAGGUGGCGAGCGUUGUCCGGAAUUACUGGGUGUAAAGGGCGUGUAGGCGGGGAAACAAGUCAGAUGUGAAAUUCUGGGGCUCAACCCCAGCGCCGCAUCUGAAACUGUAUCUCUUGAGUGCUGGAGAGGAAAGCGGAAUUCCUAGUGUAGCGGUGAAAUGCGUAGAUAUUAGGAGGAACACCAGUGGCGAAGGCGGCGACCUGGACGGACACUGACGCUGAGACGCGAAAGCGUGGGGAGCAAACAGG